GAUUGAACCUCGAAGUCAUGAAAAAAGGGGUAAACCCCAUUUUUUAAAACAGAAUUAAUAUAAAGGGGUGCCCAAGCUAAAUCAGGCCUCAGCCUAAACCGUGAAAACGGGUUUUUGGGAGAGCAAUACAUGCAUUGUGUCGGUAGGCGAAGUGGUUGAGUGCGACACCCUAGCUUAUGCUCUGACUCGAGUACCAUGAGACACGUGCAAUCCCGUGUGAAUCACGAAGGACCAACUUGCAAGGCUAAAUACUCCGGUGUGAUCAAUAGCGAAGUAGUGCUAUGAGAAGAAGGUGGAAAGUACCCCUAGUGGGUGGUGAAAUAGAACGUGAAAUC
rnacentral:ncRNA from 1 species